GACGAACGCUGGCGGCGUGCUUAACACAUGCAAGUCGAACGGUAAGGCCCUUCGGGGUACACGAGUGGCGAACGGGUGAGUAACACGUGGGUGAUCUGCCCUGCACUUCGGGAUAAGCCUGGGAAACUGGGUCUAAUACCGGAUAGGACCACUGCCUGCAUGGGUGGUGGUGGAAAGCUUUUGCGGUGUGGGAUGGGCCCGCGGCCUAUCAGCUUGUUGGUGGGGUGAUGGCCUACCAAGGCGACGACGGGUAGCCGGCCUGAGGGGGUGACCGGCCACACUGGGACUGGGAGACGGCCCAGACUCCUACGGGAGGCAGCAGGGGGGAAUAUUGCACAAUGGGCGCGAGCCUGAUGCAGCGACGCCGCGUGAGGGAUGACGGCCUUCGGGUUGUAAACCUCUUUCAGCACCGACGAAGCGCAAGUGACGGUAGGUGCAGAAGAAGGACCGGCCAACUACGUGCCAGCCGCCGCCGUAA
rnacentral:rRNA from 1 species